UUAAGGCCUUGCCGACGCGCUGAGAGGAGGUGCAUGGCCGUCGCCAGCUCGUGUCGUGAGAUGUCUGGUUAAGUCCAGCAACGAGCGAGACCCCCACCCCCACGUUGCUACCCCGGCCGUCAGGGCCGGGGGCACACUGGGGGGACUGCCGCCGUUUAAGGCGGAGGAAGGAGGGGGCCACGGCAGGUCAGCAUGCCCCGAAUCCCCCGGGCUACACGCGGGCUACAAUGGCGGGGACAGCGGGUGCCGACCCGAAAGGGGGAAGCAAUCCCUCAAACCCCGCCGCAGUUGGGAUCGAGGGCUGCAACUCGCCCUCGUGAACGAGGAAUCCCUAGUAACCGCGUGUCAACAUCGCGCGGUGAAUACGUCCCUGCUCCUU
rnacentral:rRNA from 1 species